rnacentral:rRNA from 1 species
UACAGAGGGGGCCAGCGUUAUUCGGAAUUAUUGGGCGUAAAGGGCGCGUAGGCGGCCAUGCGUGUCUUCCGUGAAAUCCCUCGGCUUAACCGAGGACGUGCGGAAGAAACUGCAAGGCUCGAGUCCGGAAGAGGGGGGCGGAAUUCCCAGUGUAGCGGUGAAAUGCGUAGAUAUUGGGAGGAACACCAGUGGCGAAGGCGGUCCCCUGGGCCGGAACUGACGCUGAGGCGCGAAGGCCAGGGGAGCGAACGGG